UGAGGACAUGCGAUCGAGCAUAGCUGACACGAAAUAUACACAACUAUAUGUAUCAUCAAAUAGACGCCAGGACAUUUAUUGAACAAAUCAGUUAAACAUUGAGCCAUUCUAACAAAGCAGGAGGCCUUUGGGGUAACCAUGGUAGUGAAAGUUCAUUUCUGGAACGCUUCCUCGUCCAGACUGAAUUUUGGCCACGUUGCAUUAGAAUUGGACGACGGUACAUACAUAAGUUGGUGGCCUGGAAGCCGAAUGAAAGAUCCAUUUCAUGCUUUUAAAGGGACGUUCGCGAAAUGCUACCCUAGUCUCGAUGCUGAAGUUGAGGAGCAAAAAUGUGAACCAGAGACAUAUUGGCUGUUGUAUUUAGAUGAAAAUAAAAUAAAAAGCUGGUUUUCUGGACAUCUUGAAGGCUCCUGUCGGUGGGACAUUAUAUUUAGGAGUUGCGCUGUGGUAGUUCAUAAAGCACUUAGUGAAGGGCAUGAUUUCUUCAAACAGAAGUCAUCCGAGUUUAUUUCACCUGCGGAAGUUAUUGAACUUGUUAGGAGGUACGCAUUAACGGAAUAAACUAACAAAUAUGCACACACCUAUCGAACAGGUUAUGUAUCGUGGUUCAUCUCUCGAGAGACAGUGAUAAUGACCAAGUAGUCAAUCGUUUGAAAACAAAGUGGCGAGUAUUGUGCUUCCGAAAUGUUCAGAUAUCGUCGCGGGAAAUUCAUAUGGAAUAUAUUGUGACACAAAAUAAAUAAAAAAGUGCAUUGUGUAUCUCGUUAAAUGUAUGUUUCCAUAUCACAUCAAGCGUUGAAAUGUUUGCUAUUGCUAUGAGAAACACUUAUUUCUAAGUGUUAACUUUUUUUGCGAAAUAUUGUACGAAUUAUUUGUUGAUGUUGAGUAUAAAGUGGCUUUGAAUAAUAUAUACAACGAUCACAAAUGUCAUCGCAUUUUUACACGUGGACAUAUUGUUUUGUAUGUGUGUAAUCCAUAUUAUUACUUUUUACAAUCAAUCAAAAAUGUUUAAACAAUACUCCUAUGUAAUACUUUUUUACGCAAUACUAUUAAAAUAAUUUUCACAUUUCCAUCCUAGUGUAAUGUAAUACAAGUUUUAUUGAAUGGUUAAUGUCCCGGACGUGACCAAAAAUAACAGUGUAGAAAAUCGAGUAAACCGUGUUUGAACAAACAUUAAACAAUCCAUUUGCCAAAAUCAAAGCGCUGUAGGCGCUAAAGGCAUGGGGCUAGGUUUAGUGUGACGUAAAAUUCAUUUAGGAUGUUUUGUCCGAAUUUCUCCCUUUGUCCUAAUUUAUACGGAUCAACCCUAGCGGUUGAGUGCAGAAGCUCAGAGACUGUAAGAAAAGACAAUAGUUGUGUAUAUACUACAGUGUACAUAGACGGUGGAGGACAACACGAUACUGGCUGUGGGAACGAUGCUUAUUUUCAUUCAAAAUGAUGUUUUAGUAAUUAAUAUCAUAGCCGCACGCUUAACACCUGUGAACGUAACAAUUGCCUAUACAUACCGAGAUACCACCGGCGUUUCCCGAUACGCGAAACGAAUUUACACAUGGGCGAGUUGGAAAAAGAAUUUGACAUUUUCAUUUGUUCAUAUGUUUUGUGGAAAUUAGUCUACGUUAUGUAGACUUGCCGGUGCUUUGUGGUUAAUUGAAAAUUGUGUUAACAUGUGUAAAAAUUAUGUCAAAACACGUCUAAUACUUAAUAGUGUUAUUGAACGUAUGUGAUGAUUUGUUUGUAAUAUUACUUGAGUAUAUAUCGUUCUGUGAAUUGUGUAUUUCGUAAAUUAAACAUGUUAUUUAUAAAAUGUUAACAUUGAUGCGUAAAUUUGUGUUGAAAGAAAAUAUGCCUGUUUUGGGAUCCCACGUGAAAUUAUGUAAUAAUUAUGAACAAAAAUA